rnacentral:rRNA from 1 species
AUUGAACGCUGGCGGCAUGCUUUACACAUGCAAGUCGAACGGCAGCGGGGGCUUCGGCCUGCCGGCGAGUGGCGAACGGGUGAGUAAUGCAUCGGAACGUGCCCAUGUCGUGGGGGAUAACUACGCGAAAGCGUGACUAAUACCGCAUACGCCCUGAGGGGGAAAGCGGGGGAUCUUUCGGGACCUCGCGCGAUUGGAGCGGCCGAUGUCGGGUUAGCUAGUUGGUGGGGUAAAGGCUCACCAAGGCGACGAUUCGUAGCUGGUCUGAGAGGAGGAUCAGCCACACUGGGGCUGAGACACGGCCCAGACUCCUACGGGAGGCAGCAGUGGGGAAUUUUGGACAAUGGGCGCAAGCCUGAUCCAGCCAUGCCGCGUGAGUGAAGAAGGCCUUCGGGUUGUAAAGCUCUUUCGGCCGGGAAGAAAUCGCAUUCUCUAAUAUAGGAUGUGGAUGACGGUACCGGACUAAGAAGCACCGGCUAACUACGUGCCAGCCGCCGCCGUAAGAC